UAGUGUAGCUCGUAAAAAAACAUUUUGUCCCAUGUUCCACUUCCUUGAGAAAUAGACUGCACAAUUCAUCCUUGGCUCAAUUGUUCCCACAAGAAAGAAAAUCUUCAGCAUAACUAGAGAUUUAGACAGGUAAGAUUUAUAAUAAUGAUUUAUAUGCUAAACAAAAUAUUUCUGACAGUUAAGACGAUUUGUUCUCAUGGUUGCCUAAAUUGCUUGUCGUUUUCGUAGCCUAAAGGACGAGUUUCUGGUGGCAUGGGCAAACUACAAACCAAAGAACAGUAGAUCAAAGAGCAUUAGCAUAAUACUAAGGAACAACCAUCUGCCAGAAGCAAGGAGAUAAUACAAUGCUGCUGCAAUAAGGGCAUAGAUAACGAGGAUGUGUAUCACCCUAAUGAUUUUCGUUUCUUCCUUCUCUGUUUCUUUGCAGUUGCCUUUUCCUCAUUUUCUGUUUUCUUUGGCUCUCCACCAUGCUCCAAAACUUCCACAGCCCAAUCCAUAGAAUAAAGAUACAUUUUCUUCACCUCCAACUUGUCUUCUUUAGCCCGAUGAUUUGGGGGAAGUAAACGAAAUUCCUCUGUCAAACGAAUACACUCACCAACAUUUUCCGGUGAAACAAAGUCCAAUGCUACCUUUAUACAUGACUUCAAGUUUCGCACUUGAUGAGGACAACCUGCAGGAAUAAAGACUGCAUCUCCAAGUUUCUGGACAAAUGUCCAUGGCUCAAUACCAUAUUCCUCUUUUAGCUUCCUCUUAUGGUCUAGAGACAAAUAAAAGGUCUGAUCGUGUAUAGGAUGCACAACCUUCUGCAAUGGGCAACAAUAAAUGUGCCUAAAUUCCUUGAAGUGCUUGUUAAGAUAUUCCUGCAACUUAGGAACGUCUUCUCUUCGGAAAAUAUCCCAAACUGCACCUCCCUCAUCUGGCUGCAGCGACACAUUUCCACAAUUUGACAGUCUGCUACCCUCACUUUGGUUGUUAUCUUCCCUAGUUUCCUUGUCAGUUGUAGGUAAGCUGCCACACAAACUGCCAUCCAUUUCUCCAUCAACAUCUUCCUCUUUGACCUGAUUGUUUCCAAAAAUUUCUCUUCGGUCUUGCUUUUCGUGUAAUUUUUUCAGUUCUUCUAUCUUAGCAAGUUUUGCAGGUUUAAGGGUCACUUCAGCUGUAUGUGUUAAAACAUUCACCGCAUCAGACAUGUCACAAUGAAGCUUGGUUACAGAAUCUCCACGCCCAAGCUCUUGAGCACAGCCAUAAGCAAUAUAUGUCUUCGGCCCCAUAUCUGGCUUCAAAGAUUUCUUAGGUAAUCGGACAGCAAGGUUCAA
rnacentral:misc_RNA from 1 species